AGGCCGUGCUCUGUGUGAAUAUG
rnacentral:miRNA from 1 species